UACAGAGGUCUCAAGCGUUGUUCGGAUUCAUUGGGCGUAAAGGGUGCGUAGGUGGCGGGGCAAGUUUGGUGUGAAAUCCCGGGGCUCAACCCCGGAACUGCACUGAAUACUGCCUUGCUAGAGCACUGGAGAGGGAACUGGAAUUUACGGUGUAGCAGUGAAAUGCGUAGAUAUCGUAAGGAAGACCAGUGGCGAAGGCGAGUUCCUGGACAGUUGCUGACACUGAGGCACGAAAGCUGGGGGAGCAAACAGG
rnacentral:rRNA from 1 species